rnacentral:rRNA from 1 species
GACGAACGCUGGCGGCGUGCCUAAUACAUGCAAGUCGAGCGGACCGGAUUGGGGCUUGCCUUGAUUCGGUCAGCGGCGGACGGGUGAGUAACACGUGGGCAACCUGCCCGCAAGACCGGGAUAACUCCGGGAAACCGGAGCUAAUACCGGAUAACACCGAAGACCGCAUGGUCUUCGGUUGAAAGGCGGCCUUUGGGCUGUCACUUGCGGAUGGGCCCGCGGCGCAUUAGCUAGUUGGUGAGGUAACGGCUCACCAAGGCGACGAUGCGUAGCCGGCCUGGGAGGGUGACCGGCCACACUGGGACUGAGACACGGCCCAGACUCCUACGGGAGGCAGCAGUAGGGAAUCUUCCGCAAUGGGCGAAAGCCUGACGGAGCGACGCCGCGUGAGCGAAGAAGGCCUUCGGGUCGUAAAGCUCUGUUGUGAGGGACGAAGGAGCGUCGUUCGAAGAGGGCGGCGCGGUGACGGUACCUCACGAGAAAGCCCCGGCUAACUACGU